CUCGAAAUAUUUCAUUUUAUAAUCCAUUUAUAAAUACUUGAAAUAAAGAACUCCAUUUAAAUAAUUAAUUUAAAGGUCAAUAUAUAAUUAAAUUAAUCAAGCUCAAUUUAAAUUAAUAAUUAAGAGCUCAAAUAAUUUAAAUAGAUAUAAGCCCAAAUUAAUUAGAUAAAUUAAGUCUAUCAUGUUUUUCUUUGAAUAAGGCCCAAACAAUUUAAUUAAAAUAGGUCCAAAUCCUUUAAUUAAAAGAAGCCCAUCAGAUUUUAUUUGUAAAGGGCCGAGCCCAAACAUUUAAAUCGAAGCCCAUCUGUUAAUUAAAUAAGGGCCCAAACACUUAUUAAAAUCGGCCCAAGUCUCGGCCCAAACAAUUAAUAAAAUCGGCCCAAGAGGGAGCCCAAUAUUUUCGGCCCAAACCCGGCUCAAACCCGGCCCAAACCCGGCUGAAACCCGGCCCAAACCCGGCUCCCUUUUCUAACCUAAAUAUACACACACAAACACCUCCCAACACACACACAAGCUUAUCUCUCUCUAACUCUAUCUCUCGGCUCUCUCUCUCCCUACUCUCUCUGCUCUCUCUCUUUACUCUCUCUGCUCUCUCUCUUCGAUCUGCCGCCGCCGCUGCCGUUCAACGGCGCCGUCGCCGCCGGCGAGCGGCGCGGCCUCUCCUCCUCUCUCCCUGAACUCUUCCCCCCCUCUUCUCCCUCUAUCUCUCUCUCUCAAUCUCGGCCGCUGGAAAGGCACAGCAGCGCAACCACGCCGCCGCUCCGUCGCCUCCGCCUCUCCUCCAUGGCAGAUCCGCCGCCGCUGCAACUGGAUCUCGGCGAGCACCGUCGACUGGAAGCCGCUGGAGCUGCUGCUGCUUCGCCGGGAGUCGAGCUGUCGCCGCCUGGAGCUGCUGCUGCUCGCCCGGAGUCGCCGCUGGCUGGCCUGCGAUCGACGGCCAGCAGCUCGCUGGAGGAGCGCUGCCGUCAGCCGCUGCCGUUGGCAGCAAGAAUCCGGCAGCCGCCUCUCCUGGAGUCGCCGUCGCCGUGAGUCGCUGUGAGGAGCCGAGCACCGUCUCACAAAGAUCGGAGACAACGGCAGGUUCACCGCCGCCGCUCCGUCGCCGGCGACGAGCCACCGCGGCUGCCGCCUCCCUCUGAUUUCGACUCACACACACAGUAGGUUCAAGCCACAAUUUAGUUCACAAAAUAGCAUAGGAUUUUGAGCAGAAAUCAAAUACUGUAAAUGCUUAUUGAAAUCUGAAAUUCUUUUCUUGAAACUGAACUAGUCUAUAAAUUUCAGUUCAUAUGUGCAUAUGUAAACAUGUUGUGAAAUAUUAGAACAGCCGUAUGAAUUGGUAUGAA